rnacentral:sRNA from 1 species
UCUUCAAAUAUGAAUGGACUACUGGGUGGAAGAUAAUUAACUAAUCUGUAUUCUUCUAAUUUGAAAUGAAUAAGUUUCAAAGUACUAAGAUAUAGGAUUAGUCAUCCAUUUUUUUUAAAUCAGUUUAACUAGAUGUUUUGUUUGUCGAAUGACAAAAAACUCUUAUUUAGUAUAAAUGAAUAGAUAAUCCUUCCAAUAAUAAUUGGGAGGAUUUUUUA